rnacentral:rRNA from 1 species
UACGUAGGGGGCUAGCGUUGUCCGGAAUCAUUGGGCGUAAAGCGCGUGUAGGCGGCCCGGUAAGUCCGCUGUGAAAGUCGGGGGCUCAACCCUCGAAAGCCGGUGGAUACUGUCGGGCUAGAGUACGGAAGAGGCGAGUGGAAUUCCUGGUGUAGCGGUGAAAUGCGCAGAUAUCAGGAGGAACACCCAUUGCGAAGGCAGCUCGCUGGACGUUACUGACGCUGAGACGCGAAAGCGUGGGGAGCAAACAGG